AACUGUGCUCUGUCCGGACUGAGAUGGCUUUAAACGGGUGAUGGCCUCAUGAAUGGAUGCCUCCUUACCACUGACCAGUGGGUGACAAAUGGCCCAUAUCCCCAUCAGGCUCAGGGCACACCACAAUUCACCUGAGGAGUCAGACGCCGGGGAGCCAGCUCCCAUUCCUGGCGAGAGGUGUCAGCCCCGACUGGUGCAGAGUGCGAGGAGCUGGCAGGUGAGGCCCUGCGGGUGCUCGGGGAUGGGUCCAGCCCUGCAGCAGCCUGGACCUGGCUGCAUGUCACCAACAGCGGUGUUCAUCACCUGAGCAAAAGGGUGAGAACAAGAAGCCUGCCCAGGCUCCCUGUGCCCAGCCUUGCAGAGCUGGGUUAAGAGCUUCCAGCUCGCUGCCUGGACGGAGCAGAAGUGGCUGGGAGAUACGGAGCCAAGCAGAGACUCGAUCCAGUCUGCGGCUGCUCCGUGCCUGAUAAGGGCGCUGCUAGUGCCGUCUUGCAGUGCUCUCGACCUGCCAGUGCUCCACAAAUGAGACGUCCUGGUGAAGCGCCCCCCACCCCUUGGCUCCCUCUGAUCCCCUCUGAAGCUGAGCGGAGCCUGGAAUGUCUCCUGGGAUGUGAUUCCCUCUAGCCUAAGGGGGACUGCGUUAAUAAACCCAGGUUGAGCGGUGGAGGCGAGGGAGGAGGAGGCAGGGCUGGUGAGAUGAGCCUCACAAACAAGUCGCAGGUCUGAUGGAAAUGUCCCGUCCUGUCCUCUCACCCUCCCCCUGUCCCUGGAGCUGAGCUGUGGAAUUCAGGGU
rnacentral:lncRNA from 1 species